GUGUCAGCAGCCGCGGUAAAACGUAGGAGGCGAGCGUUAUCCGGAUUUACUGGGUGUAAAGCGCGUGCAGGCGGAUCGGAAAGUUGGAUGUGGAAGCUCCCGGCUUAACUGGGAGAGGUCGUUCAAAACUACCGGUCUUGAGUACAGUAGAGGGAAGUGGAAUUCCGGGUGUGGUGGUGAAAUGCGUAAUUAUCCGGAGGAACACCAGUGGCGAAGGCGGUUUUCUGGACUGUAACUGACGCUCAGACGCGAA
rnacentral:rRNA from 1 species